CGAGUGGCGAACGGGUGAGUAACACGUGAGUAACCUGCCCACAACUUUGGGAUAACGCUAGGAAACUGGUGCUAAUACUGGAUAUGUGCUCCUGCUGCAUGGUGGGGGUUGGAAAGCUCCGGCGGUUGGGGAUGGACUCGCGGCUUAUCAGCUUGUUGGUGGGGUAGUGGCUUACCAAGGCUUUGACGGGUAGCCGGCCUGAGAGGGUGACCGGCCACAUUGGGACUGAGAUACGGCCCAG
rnacentral:rRNA from 1 species